rnacentral:rRNA from 1 species
UGUCAUUUAGAGGAAGUAAAAGUCGUAACAAGGUCUCCGUUGGUGAACCAGCGGAGGGAUCAUUACCGAGUUUACAACUCCCAAACCCCAAUGUGAACGUUACCAAACUGUUGCCUCGGCGGGAUUUCUGCCCCGGGCGCGUCGCAGCCCCGGACCAAGGCGCCCGCCGGAGGACCAAUUUACAAACUCUUUUGUAUAUCCCAUCGCGGAUUCUUUACAUUCUGAGCUUUCUCGGCGCUCCUAGCGAGCGUUUCGAAAAUGAAUCAAAACUUUCAACAACGGAUCUCUUGGUUCUGGCAUCGAUGAAGAACGCAGCGAAAUGCGAUAAGUAAUGUGAAUUGCAGAAUUCAGUGAAUCAUCGAAUCUUUGAACGCACAUUGCGCCCGCCAGUAUUCUGGCGGGCAUGCCUGUCCGAGCGUCAUUUCAACCCUCGAACCCCUCCGGGGGGUCGGCGUUGGGGAUCGGCACUUACCUGCCGGCCCCGAAAUACAGUGGCGGUCUCGCCGCAGCCUCUCCUGCGCAGUAGUUUGCACACUCGCACCGGGAGCGCGGCGCGUCCACGGCCGUAAAACAACCCAAACUUCUGAAAUGUUGACCUCGGAUCAGGUAGGAAUACCCGCUGAACUUAAGCAUAUCAAUAAGCGGAGGAA